UGGUGGAGUGAUUUGUCUGGUUAAUUCCGUUAACGAACGAGACCUUAACCUGCUAAUUAGGAGUCGCUAUUCCUAGCGCACCCCCUUCCUUAGAGGGACUAUGUGUCCAAGCACAUGGAAGUUUGAGGCAAUAACA
rnacentral:rRNA from 1 species